UCCCUGGUGGUCCAGUGGUUAAGACUCUACGCUCGUGAUGCAGGGGGCCCGGGUUCGAUCCCUGGUCAGGGAA